GAUGAACGCUGGCGGCGUGCCUAAUACAUGCAAGUCGAGCGAACAGACGAGGAGCUUGCUCCUUUGACGUUAGCGGCGGACGGGUGAGUAACACGUGGGUAACCUACCUAUAAGACUGGGAUAACUUCGGGAAACCGGAGCUAAUACCGGAUAAUAUUUCGAACCGCAUGGUUCGAUAGUGAAAGAUGGCUCUGCUAUCACUUAUAGAUGGACCUGCGCCGUAUUAGCUAGUUGGUAAGGUAACGGCUUACCAAGGCAACGAUACGUAGCCGACCUGAGAGGGGGAUAGGCCACACGGGAACUGAGACACGGUCCAGACUCCUACGGGAGGCAGCAGUAGGGAAUCGUCCGCAAUGGGCGAAAGCCUGACGGAGCAACGCCGCGUGAGUGAUGAAGGUCUUCGGAUCGUAAAACUCUGUUAUUAGGGAAGAACAAACGUGUAAGUAACUGUGCACGUCUUGACGGUACCUAAUCAGAAAGCCACGGCUAACUACGUG
rnacentral:rRNA from 1 species